rnacentral:rRNA from 1 species
GACGAACGCUGGCGGCGUGCCUAAUACAUGCAAGUUGAGCGCUGAAGGUUGGUACUUGUACCAACUGGAUGAGCAGCGAACGGGUGAGUAACGCGUGGGGAAUCUGCCUUUGAGCGGGGGACAACAUUUGGAAACGAAUGCUAAUACCGCAUAAAAACUUUAAACACAAGUUUUAAGUUUGAAAGAUGCAAUUGCAUCACUCAAAGAUGAUCCCGCGUUGUAUUAGCUAGCUGGUGAGGUAAAGGCUCACCAAGGCGAUGAUACAUAGCCGACCUGAGAGGGUGGUCGGCCACAUUGGGACUGAGACACGGCCCAAACUCCUACGGGAGGCAGCAGUAGGGAAUCUUCGGAAAUGGACGAAAGUCUGACCGAGCAACGCCGGGGGGGGUAAGAAGGGUGUCGGAUCGUAAAACUCGGUUGGUAGGGAAGAACGUGGGUGAGAGUGGAAAGCUCAUCAAGUGACGGUAACUACACAGAAAGGGACGGCUAACUACGUG